AUAUGUAAUGCUAUGUAUACUUAUGACUUAUAAUGCUAUGUAUACUUAUGUUAGUUAAAUCUUCACAGAGGAGGUUUUAUUGUUUUAAACUGGUACUUAUGCAAAGAGUAGGGUGAUUUUCUUCAGCCAGACGAGCCUAGAAAGGUUUCCAAAAAUGGUGAAUUGCUAUAUCAUCUUGAGCUUUGCAAUCUCAUAAUUAAAUAUUCAUGUCAAUUAUAUUUUGACCAAAGGGCAAUGAUAUAAACAGAUACUCUAGUGAAGAUUUGUAUAAGACUUUGAUCAUGUUGAAUUUGUCUGUAUUAAGUAUCAUGAUAAACAUAAUGAAUAAAAAGAGUUAUCAAAAAACAGUGGGGAACAGGAGUAAGACUGUAUUUUAUUCCAUUUAGUAUAAUGUUUGGUCCCCACAAAUGUGCCUUGGAAAAGAUCACAGAGAAAUAGAAAGGUAGAAAUUAUUUUUUGGUAAUAAAAUAAUCUGGUUUAGAAACUAGUUUUUUUUUUUCAGAACUCCAAGUCUAAUUUGCCUACUUAGUAGCAGAAUUAAUUGGUGAGC
rnacentral:lncRNA from 1 species